UAUGUUAAUAGCAUACUCAUUUGACGUUAGCUGCAGAAGAAGCACCGGCUAACUCCGUGCCAGCAGCCGCGGUAAUACGGAGGGUGCGAGCGUUAAUCGGAAUUACUGGGCGUAAAGCGCAUGCAGGUGGUUUGUUAAGUCAGAUGUGAAAGACCCGGGGCGUCAACCUCGGAAUUGCAUUUGUAAACUAGGCAAACUAGAGUACUGUAGAGGGGGGUAGGAAUUUCAGGUGUAGCGGUGAAAAUGCGUAGAGAUCUGAAGGAAUACCGGUGGCGAAGGCGGCCCCCUCGGACAGAUACUGACACUCAGAUGCGAAAGCGUGGGGAGCAAACAGGAUUAGAUACCCUGGUAG
rnacentral:rRNA from 1 species